UUUUUUUUUUUUUUUUUUUUUUUUUUUUUUUUGUUGAGAGAGAUAGGUAGCACGCUACCCGCUUCGUUUAUUUUAUUUUGAAAUAAACUUAGCUAGAAAUGUGAAUCAACUAGGAUUCGAACUUGGGUCUCGGGUACCGACCACCAAGUCCUUUGCCACUUGCUCUAGGGACGGUCGGUAACCAUAAAGUUCACUCUCCACAAUUUGCUAACAACAU
rnacentral:lncRNA from 1 species